UUGAGGGCAGCAUAUUAGUGAGCCGCACAGCUGAUCCAUCAGCGUGAGCUCUGCCAGAGGAAUCAUUCCUCGGUAUACUGAGGCAACAGCAGGUCAUAGCAUCUGGACUCAAUAGAUUUUUCGGGCAAUUUAUCUGCCUAAUUUCUGGCAGUUAUCACUGCAACUCGAACCAGUACUGACAGAAAUUUCUUGGGCUGAUCCAUAUUAAUCUCUUUUGAGACUACUUCAUCACCGAAUCUUCCCAUUAUUCUGAUCAUUAUUUUGAACCAGGUAAUAAUUAUCCUUUAUACACACUUUUUUCUACAGAUGUUUAUUCAUCACAAUUUUGUUUUUUCUUUUUUACACCUUUUUUCUCUCUCCCUAUUUGUCAAUUUUUAAUAUUUUCAUUCUGUACCUACAGUACCUACUUGCCUCCGGCUCCUCUUCCUCUAUAGGCUUGCAUCCAGGCUCGGUGCGGUGCAUGGUGAUCCUACCCGCAUGUAUAAGAGGAGUAUUUCCUCUUUUUCCCAUCCCUUCUUCCUUCCAUCUGGGAUCUUCCAUCUGGGAUUCUAAGCCAUUUACGGCUAAUUAUUCACGUUAUUCAGUCCAUUUUUUCAGGUAAAUAUUUCUGUUAAAGUCCACAGUUAUCGCAGACACUUCAUUCACUCCAUUUGUGUCUAUUUAAAUAAAUAUAUUUCUCUUUUUAUGUUUUACAACAAAUUAUGAUUAUGUCUACAUCUAUGG